AUCUACAGGAUGCUAGAUUGAGCUUUAAGUAUCGAAAACUAAGAAAAUGGAUCCUGAGAAACUUAACAGAAACCCAUGGGGGAGGGGAAGGAAAAAAAAAAAAAAGAGAUUAGAGUGGGAGAGAGCCAAAGCAUAAGAGACUGUUAAAAACUGAGAACAAACUGAGGGUUGAUGGGGGGUGGGAGGGUGGGGAGGGUGGGUGAUGGGUAUUGAGGAGGGCACCUGUUGGGAUGAGCACUGGGUGUUGUAUGGAAACCAAUUUGACAAUAAAUUUCAUAUAUUAAAAAAAAAAAAAAGAAAACUAAGAAAAUAAAUGAACAUUUGAAACACAUUCAAAUUUGACCAGGUAAGAGUUAAUUAUGUAAUCUAUAGACCUUCUAGUCUCCCUCCUGAUGAUACCUGGAACUUAGGCCAUUGUUCCUUAGGUUCCAUGAUGUCCCAACAUGCUGGGUUUGGCAAGAGAGAGGAUACGAAAGUUCACAUUCAGGAAAAACCAGAUGGCUUAGGGUCUAGCAAGCCACAGCUUCAAAGGCAGAGAACGAGGACGCUUCCAAAAGAAAGUCUUGGUGUUCAUUUCAAUGGAAGCCGAGAAUCAGAGGAGAGGCUUCUUUUUUGGGGUCAGAGUUUAAGUGGGAACUCAGCCCAAUCUGGGACCAGACUCAAGGGCCCAGCAGAAACCCUGCUUUGGCAUGCAGGGAGAACAGCUCGGCCUCCGUGGGAGUGAACGAAGAAGGCGGGGCUUUGCUGGAGUUGGGCGGAAAUCAGGAUGUCGGUGGAUGAAAACAGACCUGACUUGUGAGGCUGGACAGCGCUCUCCGCAUCCCGGUUUCUGAGUCACCUGAACCGAACUAGGCUCUGUUUUAUUACCUAGAACCGCCCACCCAUGGACAGAUUGCACUCCUGUCAACCACCAUCUGGAGGAAAGUUGUUCUCACCACCAGGCUCACAAACAUGGGCAUGUGUGUUGCUAGCAUGGCCGUGACCUUCCAGGAGAAAAGUACAGGCAGGCUGAUAGACUGUGGGCCAGAGGCAGAAGGAAGGACUUCAAGGUCUUCAGGAGGUUAAAGCAAGGACACAGAGGUCUGUGCUAUUGCACCAGGCUCCCGGAUUUUCUGGCCACAAGCAGAAUUGCUCAGUAAGUUGGCAUUCCUUACAGCCACUGCUGUUAGUGUCUCGAGAACAUUCAUAUUUUGACAUAUAAGUUUGUCUCUGCAAUAAUAUCACUGUCUUUUCAGGGGCGCCUGGGUGGCUGAGUCUCUCAAGAGUCCACCUCUUGGUUUCGGCUCGGGUCUUGAUCUCAUGGUUCAUGAGUUGGGGCCCCAACUCAUGUGUACGGCCGGCUUGGGAUCGUCUCUUUCCCUCCCUUUCUGCCCCUCCCCUGCUUGCUCUGUCUCUCUCUCUCUCUCUCUCAAAAUAAAUAAACCGACUUAAAAAAAAUUAAAAGAAGA
rnacentral:lncRNA from 1 species